GAAAGGUUCUAAAAGCAGCGUCACCCGGCUCGCUGCUGGGACGCCACCUGCAGAGACGUGCAGGGUUCCUGCACGCCGCACAUGAAGAUAAAUCAAUCAGUUGUGUGGGUGCACAAGGUGACACCCACUCCUCUGAAAACGCUUCCACGCUCCGACUUCGCCGCAGUGGAAAAACCUGCCGCCUUGUGAGGAAGCAGCAGCGUGACAGUCGACGGAGGACCAACACACCUCAGAGACACUUCCAGAGAGGGGACAUACGUGAGAGGAAAGAGAACAGAUGCCUGUGCGUCGUCCUCGUGUUUGAGCCUUCCAGCGAGGAGCGAGAGGUCUCCCGCCAAGCAGCAUCUGCACCUGGUUCCGGACCGAUGACGCCAGGGGUGGAGGAGAUUCCGGUCCGGAGCAAAGUCUGAUAUUUAGAGGCUGAUGGAAGUCAAUGCGCGUAGAGCGGCCAUGCAGACGUACGGAGAUUUGUUUAUGAGAUGUAUAAAGAACAGCAAGCUCAGGUUGAAGACAGAUAUGGUGUAAAUGUGCCCAUCAACCUACUAACACAUGAGCAUCGCUGCCCGCUAAGGUGCAAAAUGCAAUGAACAGUUUCAAUCAGCACACAUUUAUGUGAAAAUGUAACAGAUUAUUAGUUUAACAUAUUAACUGAGUGCCAGUUUAUUGUAGAAAUGGUGAGAGUGUUACAUUACAGGACAGACAUUAAAAAAACACAACAAAGAGCAGUUGUUUGGAG
ensembl:lncRNA